rnacentral:rRNA from 1 species
GAUGAACGCUAGCGGCAGGCCUAAUACAUGCAAGUCGAACGAGAUUAAGAGGCUUGCUUCUUAUGAAAGUGGCGCACGGGUGCGUAACGCGUAUGCAACCUACCUUAAUCAGGGGGAUAGCCCGAAGAAAUUCGGAUUAAGACCGCAUAAAAACACAGGAUAGCAUUAUCCAAUGUUCAAAUAUUUAUAGGAUUAAGAUGGGCAUGCGUGUCAUUAGCUAGUUGGCGGGGUAACGGCCCACCAAGGCGACGAUGACUAGGGGAUCUGAGAGGAUGACCCCCCACACUGGGACUGAGACACGGACCAGACUCCUACGGGCGGCAGCAGUAAGGAAGAUUGGUCAAUGGAGGGAACUCUGAACCAGCCAUGCCGCGUGCAGGAAGACAGCCCUCUGGGUCGUAAACUGCUUUUAGUCGGGAAUAAACCUUUCUACGUGUAGGAAGCUGAAUGUACCGAAGGAAUAAGGAUCGGCUAACUCCGUG